rnacentral:lncRNA from 1 species
GCGACCACAUGUUGCCAAAGUUGGCCGUUCUACACACAAACACCCCCCAAAGAAAAUCCCUGGGUACGGCCCUGAACAAAGCCACAGAGGAAGCAAGGCUAAGGACGCCGAAGAGCUGAAGCGAAGGAGGAGAAAGAUGAUGAAGUUGUGCAGGGGCCUGCUGCCGAGUUCGAUUGGGCCCUUGACUUUGGACCAUGUGUGCUGGGCAGCCGCUUCAUGCGGGUGCUACUGAGCCCACAACUACAAUGCAAUGGUCCCACACUGCUACCGACACCCUCCUACACAGCUACCCGCAUGCCACACGUGUGGCAACAAGUGCACAGUCAAUUAUACCCUUGCCUUUUGGUAAAUUUAGACUGUGUAUUCGCAUGGAUACACGAAGAUAGAUGGCAACAACAAAGGGCAAGUUCGAUUUCACUCGCUCGCUUCAUGGGUAUGCUGAACUAUGCUAACUGUACUGUGAGAGCAGACUUUUGGGAAAGUGAGACACAAGGGGCCAUUUUUGUACGUUCUGUACCUGACAUUAUCACAACUAGCCAUACUGGUAUGUGAAGUCACCAGAAUCAAUACUGUAGCUCACCAUUGUCUGAACGUGCACUACGUGAAAAUGGACUUUAAUGUCAAAAUAGAAGAUUGCCACAUGUGCUUGUUUUAUUAUUUCCGUGUGACUGGGCUUCACUCACGAAAAUGGUUACACGUGUUACCACUUGGUGCAGGCCACGCCAGAACGCGUGAGCACCUUCACAAGUAUAUUAGACAGUUCCAAGAUGACAUCAUGCAUAAAAGACAGAAGCCGAGUUUUGCAUGGGUAGUGCAUACAAAAGACGUAUUGGAAUUUGCUUAAAAAUGAGUUGGUUUCAAGAAAUGCUCCGAGAAUGUGCCCGAUCAACAACUGUGCUUGCCGCUAUCAUUGUACUGUGAGUGUACUUAUUUUUCUCCACACAAGCUUAAAGAGUUUCAUUUUUACCAGA